rnacentral:rRNA from 1 species
CCUACCUAUAAGACUGGGAUAACUUCGGGAAACCGGAGCUAAUACCGGAUAAUAUUUCGAACCGCAUGGUUCGAUAGUGAAAGAUGGUUUUGCUAUCACUUAUAGAUGGACCCGCGCCGUAUUAGCUAGUUGGUAAGGUAACGGCUUACCAAGGCGACGAUACGUAGCCGACCUGAGAGGGCGAUCGGCCACACUGGAACUGAGACACGGUCCAG